GAUGAACGCUAGCGGGAGGCUUAACACAUGCAAGUCGAGGGGCAGCACGAGGUAGCAAUACUUUGGUGGCGACCGGCAGACGGGUGAGUAACGCGUAUGUAACCUGCCCUGUACAGGGGGAUAACCCGGAGAAAUUCGGACUAAUAUCCCAUGGUAAUAUUGAAAGGCAUCUUUUAAUAUUUAAAGUUCCGGCGGUACAGGAGGGGCAUGCGUAACAUUAGCUGGUUGGUAAGGUAACGGCUUACCAAGGCGAUGAUGUUUAGGGGUCCUGAGAGGGUGAUCCCCCACACUGGUACUGAGACACGGACCAGACUCCUACGGGAGGCAGCAGUGAGGAAUAUUGGUCAAUGGGCGCAAGCCUGAACCAGCCAUCCCGCGUGCAGGAAGACGGCCCUAUGGGUUGUAAACUGCUUUUCCAGGGGGAGAAAC
rnacentral:rRNA from 1 species